rnacentral:rRNA from 1 species
UACGUAGGGUCCGAGCGUUGUCCGGAAUUACUGGGCGUAAAGAGCUCGUAGGUGGUUUGUCGCGUUGUUCGUGAAAACUCACAGCUUAACUGUGGGCGUGCGGGCGAUACGGGCAGACUGGAGGUAUGCAGGGGAGAACGGAAUUCCUGGUGUAGCGGUGAAAUGCGCAGAUAUCAGGAGGAACACCGGUGGCGAAGGCGGUUCUCUGGGCAUGUCCUGACGCUGAGGAGCGAAAGUGUGGGGAGCGAACAGG